GGAGGUGCGAGCGUUGUCCGGAUUUAUUGGGGUUUAAAGGGGUGCGUAGGCGGUUUAUUAAGUCAGUGGUGAAAGUCUGUAGCUUAACUAUAGAAGUGCCAUUGAUACUGAUAGACUUGAGUAUACUAUAGGCAGGCGGAAUUUAUGAUGUAGCGGUGAAAUGCAUAGAUAUCAUAAAGAACCCCGAUAGCGAAGGCAGCUUGCCGGAGUAUAACUGACGCUGAUGCACGAAAGCGUGGGUAGCGAACAGGAUUAGAUACCCUGGUAGUCCACGCCGUAAACGAUGAUUACUCGCUGUUGGCGAUAGACAGUCAGCAGCUUAGCGAAAGCGUUAAGUAAUCCACCUGGGGAGUACGAUCGCAAGAUUG
rnacentral:rRNA from 1 species